UACGGCUCAGUAACACGUCGAUAAUCUGCCCUAAGGGUUGAGGAUACCCACGGAAAACUGUGGCUAAUACUUGAUAUUGAAUGGAUUCUGGAAUGAGCCAUUCAUUAAACGUAAGGCCUUAGGAUGAGUCGGCGGCGGAUUAGGCAGUUGGCGGUGUAACGGACCACCAAACCAAAGAUCCGUAGGGGCCCUGAGAGGGGUAGCCCCGAGAGGGACACUGAAAUACUGGUCCCAGCUCCACGGAGUGCAGCAGGCGCGAAACCUCCACAAUGCGCGAAAGCGUGAUGGGGGGAUUCCGAGUGCUUACAUUUUUUGUAAGCUUUUGCCAAGAGUUCACAUCUUGGAGAAUAAGUGGUGGGUAAGACCGGUGCCAGCAGCCGCGGUAACCCCGGCGCCACGAGUGGCAAUCUUAUAUUGGGCCUAAAGCAUUCGUAGCAGGUUUGAAAAAUCCUUUGUGAAAUUGUUGAACUCAAUACAACAGCGUGCAGGGGACACUUUCAGACUAGAGACUGGGAGGAGUUGGGGGUAUGCCUUGGGGAGCGGUUAAAUGUGAUAAUCCAAGGUAGACCACCUGUGGCGAAGGCGCCCAACUAGAACAGUUCUGACUGUGAGGGAUGAAAGCUAGGGGAGCGAUCCGGAUUAGAUACCCGAGUAGUCCUAGCUGUAAACACUGUGAGCUAGGUGUCGCAUAUUCUACGAGAAUAUGCGGUGUCGAAAAGAAGUUGAUAAGCUCACCGCCUGGGAAGUACGGUCGCAAGACUGAAACUUAAAGGAAUUGGCGGGGGGGAG
rnacentral:rRNA from 1 species